rnacentral:rRNA from 1 species
GCUGGUGUUGAUAGCGGCGGGGGUACACCUGAUCCCAUCCCGAACUCAGAAGUUAAGCCCGCCAGCGGCGAUGGUACUGCAGGGGCAACUCUGUGGAAGAGUAGCACGACGCCAGCU